CACGUAGGGCGCGAGCGUUGUCCGGAAUUAUUGGGCGUAAAGAGCUCGUAGGCGGCCUGUUGCGUCCGCUGUGAAAGCCCGGGGCUUAACCCCGGGUCGGCAGUGGAUACGGGCAGGCUAGAGGUAGGUAGGGGAGAAUGGAAUUCCCGGUGUAGCGGUGAAAUGCGCAGAUAUCAGGAGGAACACCGAUGGCGAAGGCAGGUCUCUGGGCCACUACUGACGCUGAGGAGCGAAAGCGUGGGGAGCGAACAGG
rnacentral:rRNA from 1 species